UGGGGAAUAUUGGACAAUGGGGGGAACCCUGAUCCAGCAAUGCCGCGUGUGUGAAGAAGGCCUGAGGGUUGUAAAGCACUUUCAGUGGGGAGGAGGAUUGAUUGGUUAAGAGCUGAUUAAUUGGACGUUACCCACAGAAGAAGCACCGGCUAACUCCGUGCCAGCAGCCGCGGUAAUACGGAGGGUGCGAGCGUUAAUCGGAAUUACUGGGCGUAAAGGGUGCGUAGGUUGUUUGAUAAGUUAUCUGUGAAAGCCCUGGGCUCAACCUGGGAAGGCCAGAUAAGACUGUAAGACUCGAGUAUGGGAGAGGGUAGUGGAAUUUCCGGUGUAGCGGUGAAAUGCGUAGAGAUCGGAAGGAACACCAGUGGCGAAGGCGGCUACCUGGCCUAAUACUGACACUGAGGCACGAAAGCGUGGGGAGCAAACA
rnacentral:rRNA from 1 species